CGUGAGGAGAAAGGGGGUUCGGCCUACAACUCCCAGAGGGUUGAGCGUGGCGGCUGGGCCUCCUGAAGUAGCCAAAAGGGGCUAGUCCUAGCCCCCGGCCUGGCCACCCCUGUCGUGGCCAAGGCCUCGCUCUCCCACCACGAAGCCGAAUGUCUCUUCCUCAGCAACUGCCACUUAAACGGCCCGACCAGCCCCGCUGAGGACCGGCCUCAAGGACUACAUGGAUGCUACUCUGCCUGCUGUUGCUGAGGAACUUCUGAAUGAGAUAAGUUCUGCUUUUAAGGAGACGUCACAAAUUCCCGAUGAGCUGUUAUUGGCGCUGAAGUUUGUGUUCGGCUCAUCCGCUGUCCAGGCUUUGGAUUUAGUCGAUCAGCGUUCUGUCACUCGAGUCUUGUCUCCUAGUGGAAGAGUAGUAUACCAGGUGGUUGGAAGUUCUGGCAAAUUGUAUACCUGCUUUAAUUCCUGCCAUUACUGCUCGUGCCCUGCCUUCGCCUUCUCUGUGCUUCGGAAAAGUGACACCCUGCUGUGCAAGCAUCUCCUCGCGGUCUACCUCAGCCAGGCAAUGGGGAUGUCCCAAGAACUCAACGUCUCAGACAAGCAAAUGACCAGUAUCCUAUUGAUGGACGAGGAUCGGGAACGAUAAAAAUGGAAACCAGGCAGGGACAGUUACUGUCUUACAGAUUCCCUUAUUUUCUUCAGGACCGCUGUGUCUGUUUACCACUUGACUGUUGGAAGAAACAAAAUUUGGAUUGACCUCUAUGAUAACUCUUGUAGAUAAAGGUAAUAUUUAUUCAGCCUGAAAGAUUUACUGAGGCCUAUCUAUUUUGUCACCUUCCUGCCAUUUUACAUGGGGUGUAACAUCUUUCCGUUCUCCAGAAAGGAUCAAUCAGUGGUAUUUGAGAGCUGGCCUUGUGCAUGUUUGGUAUGUUGCUGGGGUGUGUUUAUAUGUGCUAAGGUAAGAGGAGCACUGAGUCUGGGUCAAUAGGUCCGGUGCACCAGGGGCUGGAUAAAAGGUCUCUGCUAGUUGAUACACCCCUUUCUAAAGGUAACCUUACAACCGGGACUGAAGUAUUUGUCUCCCUUAGGAAAACCAAAAGUUACACAUCUGUCCAUCUGAUGCACUUUGUGAGUGACGGAUAUCAUUUUGACUCUUGGGUGAAUGGAAAGCUUUACAGCACCAACCCCCGAGGAUGAGGGAAGGGGUGCACAGGAGCCAGCAGGAAAUGGGAAACGUCUGUAAACUCUGAUCUGGUGGAGUGGGAGAGGCUGGCUGGGAAAGAAGGGAUACCUUACCAUGUCACCAUGGGGUCACCAGGGAGGGUGGAAAAUCCAUUUUUCUUCCAAUAAAGUAAAAGUCAGUCAACCGGUCCUACUUCAUGAAACUAUUGUUUACAUAUCAUUGAUGGAGUGCACAAGUUGGGGUGAUUUGGGUAAAACCAGAUAUUCAACUUUGAUUGUGGGCAGGGAUCAAUUCUAUUGUACUUUCCCAAGAACUUAGUACAGCGCUCUGCACAAAGUAAGCAUUCAAUAAAUACCACUGAGUGACUGAACGAACCAAUCCCCCCCACAAUUAUAACACUGCUCCUAAUUCAAUUUCAAAAGCCACAGUAAUCAUGAACUCUGUGUCAAAGUAACACCUUCCUGAACCUAACUGUGGGUGGGAAAGAGAGAGAGCAAGGUGGUUGGGCUUGUGCCCUUUGGUUUCAAAUGCAAAUCAUUCAGUGUUUCAGAGAAACAGCUUUCUGCUUGAAGUUUAAGAGAAAAAGAAGGCCACCAUCCUCAAAAGUUUUGUUUUUCCAAACCUUCUUUAAAUGUAUUUGUUGAAAAACAUCCCACGUAAAUACACCCAAGCAAAAUAUUUAAAUUUUCUU